rnacentral:rRNA from 1 species
UACAGAGGGUGCGAGCGUUGUUCGGAAUUAUUGGGCGUAAAGGGCGCGUAGGCGGUGCGGUAAGUCACCUGUGAAAUCUCCUGGCUCAACUGGGAGCUUGCAGGCGAAACUGCCGUGCUGGAGUGUGGGAGAGGUGCGUGGAAUUCCCGGUGUAGCGGUGAAAUGCGUAGAUAUCAGGAAGAACACCCGUGGCGAAGGCGGCUCUCUGGAACGCAACUGACGCUGAGACGCGAAAGCGUGGGGAGCAAACAGG